GUCCCGCUGGUCUAGGGGUUAUGAUCCUCCCUUAGGGUGCAAGGCCUCAGUUGGGAGGGGUGCUGUGUUCGAGUCACAGGUGGGACC